ensembl:lncRNA
CUUGAUUCUUCUACAGAUAUGUAAUCAAUAGAAGUCAUAAACUGUAUUCUCUCAUAAACAUGCAGUAGAAUCCUUAAACAUUUUUACAGAGGGCUGAUUUAAAUAAUUGUAAGGGUGGUUAUUAAAAGACAAUCAAUAGUAUAAAAAAGCAUUCUGUGAUUGUUACCAUUUUCAUUAAUACAUUUUUAAAUAAAAUUAUUAUCUUUCAGAGUGCAUAGUUUUUAUAUAUUUUUAUUUCUAUAAUGCUAUUUAAUAGAAUCUCACUAUGAACUAACAUGUGCAUUUAUUCCUUCAGGGCAAUUUAUUAGAUAUGGAUCUUAUUUGAAUUUUAUCUAGAGCCACUGUAUACAGAAAAUACUUUAAAAAGACAUUAAAUCUAUUAACCUAUUGUGGGAAUUUCUGUUGUUCUCUCAGUUGUGGUGCUUUCUGUUGUUGUGGUACCUGAGGUGGUGCUUUCAGUAGUUGUGGUUUCCAAUGUUGUACUUUCUGAAGUUCUGGUGGUGCUUUCUGUUGUUGUACUUUCUGGAGUGGUUGUGCCAGUGGUUGUACUUUCUGUCACUGUGGUGCUUUCAGUAGUUGUGGUACCUGAGGUGGUGCUUUGUGUUGUUGUAGUGUCUGUUGUGGUGCUUUCUGGUGUUAUGGUACCUGUGGUGGUGCUUUUUGGUGUUGUAGUGUCUGUUGUGGUCUCGGUUGUUGUGCUUUCUGCUGUUGAAGUGUCUGUUGUGAUGCUUUCUGGUGUUGUGGUCUCUGUUGUGGUUUCGGUUGUUGUGCUUUCUGGUGUUGUGGUACCUGUAGUGGUACUUUCUGGUGUUGUAGUGUCUGUAGUGGUCUCGGUUGUGGUGCUUUCUGAUGUUGUCAUACCUGUGGUAGUGCUUUCUGUUGUUGUAGUGUCUGUUGUGGUCUCGGCUGUUGUGCUGCCUGUAGUGGUGCUUUCUGGUGUGGUAGUGUCUGUAGUGGUCUCGGUUGUGGUGCUUUCUAAAGUUGUAAUACCAGUGGUGGUACUUCCUGUUGUAGUGCUUUCUGUUGUUGUGGUACCUCUAGUGGUGCUUUCUGCUGUUGUAGUGCCUGUGGUCGUGCUUUCUGUUGUUGUAGUGUCUGUUGUGGUGCUUUCUACAGUUGUGAUUUCCGUUGUUGUACUUUCUGAAUGUAUAAUGCCAGGGGUGGUACUUUCUUUUGUUGUGGUCUCUGUUGUGGUCUCGGUUGUUGUGCUUUCUGGUGUUGUGGUACCUGUAGUGGUACUUUCUGGCAUUGUAGUGUCUGUUUUGGUCUCGGUUGUGGUGCUUUCUGGUGUUGUGGUACCUGUGGUGGUGCUUUCUGUUGUUGUAGUGUCUGUUGUGCUCUUGGUUGUUGCUCUUUCUGUUGUUGUGGUACCUGUGGUGGUGCUUUCUGUUGUUAUAGUGUCUGUUGUUUUCUCAGCUGUUGUGGUACCUGUGGUGGUGCUUUCUGGUGUUGUAGUGUCUGUAGUGGUCUCGGUUGUGGUGCUUUCUGAAGUUGUUAUAGCAGUGGUGGUACUUUCUGUUGUUGUGGUCUCGGUUGUUGUGCUUUCUGGUGUUAUGGUACCUGUAGUGGUACUUUCUGGUGUUGUAGUGUCUGUUGUUGUCUCGGUUGUGGUGCUUUCUGGUGUUGUAGUGUCUGUUGUUAUCUCGGUUGUGGUGCUUUCUGGUGUUGUAGUGUCUGUUGUGGUCUCUGCUAUUGUGGUACCUGUAGUGGUGCUUUCUGGUGUUGUAGUGUCUUUUGUGGUCUCGGUUGUUGUGGUACCUGUGGUGGUGGUUUCUGUUGUUGUAGUGUCUGUUGUUGUCUCGGUUGUGGUGCUUUCUUGUUUUGUGGUUCCUGUGGUGGUGCUUUCUGGUGUUGUAGUGUCUGUUGUUAUCUCGGUUGUGAUGCUUUCUGGUGUUGUAGUGUCUGUUGUGGUUUCUGCUGUUGUGGUACCUGUAGUGGUGCUUUCUGGUGUUGUAGUGUCUGUUGUUAUCUCGGUUGUGGUGCUUUCUGGUGUUGUAGUGUCUGUUGUGGUCUCAGCUAUUGUGGUACCUGUAGUGGUGCUUUCUGGUGUUGUAGUGUCUUUUGUGGUCUCGGUUUUUGUGGUACCUGUGGUGGUGCUUUCUGUUGUUGUAGUUUCUGUUGUUGUCUCGGCUGUUGUGUUUUCUGGUGCUGUGGUACCUGUAGUGGUGCUUUCUGGUGUUGUAGUGUCUGUUGUUGUCUCGGUUGUGGUGAUUUCUGAUGUUGUCGUACCUGUGGUGGUGCUUUCUGGUGUUGUGGUCUCUGUUGUGGUCUCGGUUGUUGUGAUUUCUGUUGUUGUGGUACCUGUAGUGGUGCUUUCUGCUGUUGUAGUGCCUGUGGUCAUGCUUUCUGUUGUUGUGGUACCUGUAGUGGUGCUUUCUGGUGUUGUAGUGUCUGCAGUGGUGUCGGUUGUGGUGCUUUCUGAAGUUGUAAUGGUAGUGGUGGUACUUUCUGUUGUAGGGCUUUCUGUUGUUGUGGUCUCGGUUGAUGUGCUUUCUUGCGUUGUGGUAGCUGUAGUAGUACUUUCUGGAGUUGUGGUUUCUUCUGUUGUUGUGAUCUCAGUUGUGGUGCCUGUGGUGGUACUUUCUAUUGUUGUGGUUGUUGUGCUGGGUGUGGAACUUUCUGUUGUUGUGGUCUCCAUCGUUGUACUUCCUGGAGUGGUCGGUCCAGUGGUUGUAAUUUCUGUCAUUGUGGUGAAUGAAUACUGGUAUCAGUAUAUAAAAUAAUAAUAAUAAUUAAAAAGACUUCACUUGUUUUUUGAAAAUCUGAAAGAUUGAAACCUAAUUUAAAUUGGUUGACAGUUCCAAAUGUUGGCUAAAUGAAGCAGCAAAGAUUGAUUGGUUGACAGUUCCAAAUGUUGGCUAAACGAAGCAGCAAAGAUUGACCUUGAAUUUUUUUUUUUAUUUUUUUUUGCAUAGUUUUCCAAAAGACCUGCACUAGAACAUUUUAAAUUAUGAUUUGGAAUAUAAUAACAUAAAAAUCAAUCUUUUCUCG